GGCCUCGAACUCAGAGAUCCACCUGCCUCUGCCUCCUGAGCGCACCACCAACGCCUGGCUGUGACUAUUAACUUGAACUCUUCCCUGGUCCCCAGUGGGCAGAACCGUGGACAGGUCUGAACUGGAAACUCCACUGCUACAAGUCCUCAGGUACCUGGACCAGACAACUGAAAGAAUUCGGACCAUCUCCUAGAGACUAUGAACCUGAAGAAUACAAAGCAUGGGACACCUGUAACAGCAGAAAUGUGACUUUGCAUUGUCUGUUGUUGGUGACAGUACAGUUGUCUUCUGUUGCAGAUCUCCAACCUGCAAUUUUUUGAACAUCCUUUGGGGUUUGUUUAUCUCUGUCUACUGCAGAGUUUCCUAACCUCCUUGCACUGGAUUUUGAUAGUUCUUUGCUGUGGGGUAAGAGUUCCUGUGCAUUGUAAGGGGUGAGCAGACUCUUAGCCUCUACCCACAAUGUCUGUGUGACCCACUCCCCCAUCCUUUUAGUUUUGACAACCAAAACUGCCUUGCAUAGCGCUGCAUGUCCACUAGAGGGCAAAAAACCAACCUGAGUUGGGAACCUGUCAGGCAUUCAUUGCUUGGCCAUGGGAAUGGAUAGAGUCAAAAGACAAGGAUACAGAAGCUGAAGCUGGCUGAAAAAUGUUCUCUGGGUCUGGUGUUUACUUUGGAUCUUUAAGAAAACUUAGGGUGGUAUAAAAGCUAACUGCCAGAACUGAGGGGUGAGGGGAACUUCUACAACAGUGGUUCUUAACUUUCCCAACGCUGCAGCCCCUUACUACAGUUCUUUGUGUUGUGGUAACCUCCAGCUAUAAAAUUACUUCAUUGCAGCUCCACAACUGUAAUUUUGAUACUCCUAUGAAUUGUAAUGGAAAUGUCUGCUCUUCAGUGGCCUUAGGUGGCCCCUGUGAAAGGGUUGUUUGACAGUUUGAGAGCCACUUCUCUACCAGGACUAGGCUGAGAAGGAAGAAGUCGAGAGAGGUACAGGGUUAAGAGAGGGCGAUUUUGUCACUUAGCCAACAUGCUUGGGAAAAGACAUUUGGGUGGAAUAUCUGACAAGCAUUUAAACUAAUAAAGGCGGUACUUUUGGUAGAGAUUUCCUGAGAGAAAAUAUUGCAUCCUUCGGGAAAGCUCCUUAAGACUCAGAUGUUCUAAAGGAAGCCUCAUUGAUAGAAACUUGAGCCACUAAAGGCAAUAGCAUAGAAAGCUUUAAAUGCAAGAGAAGGAAAAAAAUGAUCUUGUGCACUGUAAUGUAAGGCUGUAUGGGAGGCGUAGCCAAUGGUAUUAAAAGAAAAACAGUACUGUGAAAGGGAUCAUUUUUGUUUUGUAUAAAAUAAAAACACUUAAAGUUCUUAGGUAUGUAUACAUAAUACAGAAAUACGUUACCAACUUUAUAUCUUGUAUCUACGAAGUUUGCAUUUCAGUAUGAAUUUAAAAGGUAUGGAAAGGCAUUCAGCAAACAAGGUAUCAGGCAGGGAACAGAAGGCAGCGUGAUACGGGAUACAAGACAGAGGACAGGGAAGUUUGAAUAAAAGGUUUUCCUUUCUGUACCUGUGUUUUGAAAGUGCUAAGAUGUUCACAGAAAUAAAGAAAAUUAACUUAC